rnacentral:rRNA from 1 species
UACGAAGGGGGCUAGCGUUGCUCGGAAUGACUGGGCGUAAAGGGCGCGUAGGCGGUUUACACAGUCAGAUGUGAAAUUCCAGGGCUUAACCUUGGGGCUGCAUUUGAUACGUGUAGACUAGAGUGUGAGAGAGGGUUGUGGAAUUCCCAGUGUAGAGGUGAAAUUCGUAGAUAUUGGGAAGAACACCGGUGGCGAAGGCGGCAACCUGGCUCAUUACUGACGCUGAGGCGCGAAAGCGUGGGGAGCAAACAGGAUUAGAUACCCUGGUAGUCCACGCUGUAAACGAUGUGUGCUGGAUGUUGGGUAACUUAGUUACUCAGUGUCGAAGCUAACGCGCUAAGCACACCGCCUGGGGAGUACGGCCGCAAGGUUG